AUCUGUGGGAACAGAGGUUGAAUAACCUUCUUCACCAUUAAAUGCCUAGCAGAUUGCACAAUGCCUGGCACAGGGUUGGGAGAAGAUACAUGUUCACUGAGGGGCAAAAUAAGGAAUUGCUGAAAGUGUGAUUUGGGGAACACCUGCUAGGUCCCUUUGUCCUAAAAAUAGGCCCCCAUUUGACCCCUCUACUGCAAGCUAAGGGCUUCCAUUUUACAGUAAGAAAUAUGGUUCAAGAAAAAGCACCCUUCCCCUCCCUGGGAGUAGAACUGAAGAGUAGGCAGGGUGAACUCAGUUGACCUGGAAUGUUCCCUGUGCCUGAUAAUUUUUGAUCUGAUAACUGCACCGAUUACCACCUGGAGAGAUGUAUGCUUCUGAGAAAAGGCAUUUCCAUUUUGAGGGUUCAACGUCUGGAAGGCACCCUGCUGUCUGGUGCCUUGUUACGGGAAGCAUGAUCAGUGGUCCAGCCACACCAGCAUCACUUGGGAACUUGGGAGCUUGUUAGAAUGUGAACGUCAGAGUUCCCGUCAUGGCGCAGUGGCAACGAAUCCGACUAGGAGCCAUGACGUUUUGGGUUCGAUCCCUGGCCUCGCUCCGUGGGUUAAGGAUCUGGUAUUGCUGUGAACUGUGGUGUAGGUUGCAGAUGCGGCUCAGCUCUGGUGUCGCUGUGGCUCUGGUGUAGGCCAGCAGCUGUAGCUCCGAUUAGAUCCUUAGCCUGGGAACCUCCAUAUGCCACGAGUANUAAAAAAAAAAAAGAAAAGAAAGAAUGUGAACUUUGGACAGACACUUUUACACUUUUUCUCGUUCAUUCUUGCAUUCCCAUGGCCUGGAGUGGUGGCAGGGCAAAGUGUGCGAAUGAAUGAGCAAUGGAUGAAAAGACGGAGGGAGGGAUGUUUGAAUGAGAGUGUGGUCCAGAUGAAGAGGGAAUGGAUGAAUGCUGGGUGAAUGGACCCUCCACAGGCGUGUCCAUGAUGGAUUUCUUGCUAUGGGCACAGAGCUCCGGAGGACGGAGCUGGCAAUACCCCUAACGCUUCCCCAGGGGAGAAGCUGGGCCAUUGUCCACUGGCCCAAGAGGUGGAGCUUUGGCUUUAGUUGAAGAAAGGGCCCUGAGGGACUUCUACAGGAACAUGGGACAAGCCUCUGUUUAGGCAUUAAAAUAAAACAACCAACCAAACUGUUUGGUCUAUGAAACAGUGACCCUAUUAUUCCCAACUUGGACAAAGCUUGCUUAACUUGAACUUCAACUGUUGCUACUAUUCAUCGACACAGCACAGUCCUAAUCCCUUGGUUUUAGCCAAGCCUCGGGCUCGCCUGUGCUCCUUGUAGUGGAUCCCACGAGCAGAUCCAAGCCACAGGGAGAGGAAAAAGGAGAGCAAAUAACCCCUGAGAGGGUGGUGAUACAUCUGAAUCAAGGCCUGCAUGUCCGGGCAAAGCUUCAGAGGAGAAACCACGUUUUCUUAUUUGUGUCACAUUCUCAGGAUAAAUAAGUCUGAAAUAUAUUAUUAUUAUUUUUUGGCCAUUCCUGGGGCAUAUGGAAAUUCCUGGGCCAGGAAUUGAACCCGUACCACAGCAGUGACCUGAGUCGCUGCAGUGACAAUGCCACAUCUUUAACCCGCGGAGACACCAGGGAACUUUAAUAGGUCUGAAAUAUUAAAUGCUGAGUGUGGAACUUGGAACGUAGUGUAUUGUUUGGAAAUUUUUCUACAGUAUGAUGAAAGCAAUAAUAGUUCAUUCUCCUAUAGCAUGCAUUCUGUGCUAGGCACUGUUCCAAGAUGCUUACUUAUAUCAACUCAUUUUACCCUUAUAACAAUCCCGUGAGGAACUAUGAUCACCCUCCCAUCGUACAGAUGAGGAACUGAGGCAGGGAGAUGAAGUAAUUUCAGCCAAGGUCACAGAGCUGCUGAGUAAGGAGCAGAGCUGGGAUUCAAACCCAGGCAGCCAGGCUCCCCUGAAGGCAUGAUCUCCAACUCUCCACUACACAGCCUCAUCUGACAUCUGAAGACUCUUAAUUGAAGGGGCGCAUGCAUGCAUUCAGGCAUUUAUUUAUUCUGCAGAUCUUUAAGCAUCUGUUAUAAACGAGAGCCUCUCCGUAGGGAUCCAAAGGCAAAAAUAGCAAUUCCUUACCCUUGCACAGUGUUUUAGAAAGUAUCUCCUUGAUGGUCCAAUGAUCCUCUUCACAGAUGCGGACAGCUGAAGCCCAGAGAACUUACACGCCUUCUUCAAGGUCAUGUGAUUAGAAAGAGAGUGACUCAGAACUUGAACCUGGAUGUUCUGACCGCAGACCCAGUGCUAUUUCUCCCCUAAGAAGCUUGUUUAGAACACCAGAGGCGAUCAGACACACAGACGUGGGAUAGAAAUAAAACAAGAAAGAGAUGGUUUGUGCUUUUACAGAACAUAUUAAAUACCAUGGGUAGCUAUAGAUUACCAUGAUGUGACAGCCAAAAUGCCACCAUCUUAACGCCACACUCACCUCCUUUCUCAGCUUUCCUGGAGAUGUCUUGGAGUGCAUUGGUUGAAAAGGAUAUAAAAACGCCUUGUAAAAUGCACGAUUAAACCAGCCACAAUUUCCAUUCCAAAGAAAGUAUUGUCCCGAACCUCAUACCGGUAGCUAAAAACCCCUACUUGCCAGUUUACAAAAAUAAUUUGGGGUCCAUGUUUCUCCCCCUGGUGGAUUGACUUGCCCACUUAAAAGGUCGCCCUUUGGAAACGAACUCUCAUUAAAAUGCUCAGCUAGUGACAUCGAUAAGUUUAUCCCUCGGAGAAGGCAAGCUUGCUGGGGCUAUAAUGACAUGGUCUUUCCGUGUUCUUAAGGCAUUGAUUAACCCUCACCUGCCAGAAAUCGUUAGCAACCGGAUCGCUAUUUUCUGAUAGUUUUGAAAGGAGGAUAAGUUUUAGUAAAUAAUCAUUGGCUGCUUUCCCAGGGGGAAAACCAAGCUGGAGUGGCACUGAAACGCCACAUUGGUUUAUUUCUUAGUGGGUGUAUUUAGGGAGGAAUGGAAAUUGCAUUCCAAGCAGCUAAUUAUAGGAUAAGUGUCUCUAGUUAUCCAGGCAGCAAGCAUGUCAGCUCUGCACUGAGCUAUCACAUUAUAUACAUUUUCUGUUCUCCGGAUAAUUAACAGGAUCAAAAUAUUACUGUCAGAUUCGAGAGGAAAAUUAACACAUUAUCUUAAUUGUCUUUUCUACUCAGGUACGAGGCAUUACCAUUUCAAGAAGGAUUCGUCUCAUACAUUGGAAUUUUAAACUGCAAUUCCUGAAGAUGCCGCUAAUCCCUUUGCAAACUUUGAUCUGCUGUUGUGAUGUCUUUGGACCCUGAUUUCUCUGUUUCACUUUUGAACUUUGCAAAAUGGCAACAGAGGGUGCAACAAUGCCAGCUCGUGCCCCCUCCCAAGAGCCAAUUGCUGAAUUUUCAGACAUUUUGUGAACUGGGUUAGACAUACUAUUAUUGAGAAAGGAAACUCGAUAAACUUCUGACUGAAGAAAUGAUAUCAAGACGAAAGAGAUAAUUACUCUACUUAAAGCUUAUCACUUCCUUUCCUUUGCUACAUUUUACUAUUAUCUAUGUUAUUGAGGUUAUCUCUAUUGUAUCUCUAUGGUAGAGACUGUACAGUGGAGACCUGAUGCUUCAUCUCUUCCCAGCUCUGCAGUCAGAGCUGCCAUGACAUUGGCAGCUUGCCAUCAGCUGUAGUGCAGGUAUUCAUGCCAUGGAUAUUGGCAAAUACUACAAAUCGAGGCUUUGUUAAUUGUCUAGACCAGGGUUGGCAAACUAGAGCUUGUGGGCUGGACGUUUAUUUUAGUCAAUACAUUUGUUGGAACCUAGCCAUGCCCAUUUGUUUAUAUAUUUUCUAUGGCUGCUUUCGUGCCACAACCACAGAGUUGAGUCGUUCCUACAGAGACUAUAUGUUCUGCAAGCCUAAAAUCUUUACUAUCUGACUCUUUACAGAAAUGUUGCUGGCCUCUGGUCUAUAUAAGAAGGUAAUGGAGAAAAUCUUGACAAUGCAGUUGCAAUUUAGAAGUGUAGCAUGUCUGUAGCCAUUUCAUUUGUAAUUAGCUCAUGUAACUAAAGAUCCAGGGAUAUUCGUCUUCAGGCAUGGCUGUAUCCAGGAGUUCAAAUGAUGUCAUGGGAUCUCGCGGCUUUGCUUUCUUCUCUUUUAACUGUGUUUUCAGGCAGGGAUUUCCAUGACGUGAUAAAAUGACUUCUCAAAGUCCCUGGCUAGUAGUCUGACUAUAGUUUAUAUGACUUUUACAGUAGCUGCAGCAGCAAAAGCCCUGUGUUGUAUUAAGCUGCCUUGGGUCACGGGCCCAUGUAUGAACCAAUCACAGAAAUGGAGGGCCCUGAUUGGUUAGGCCUAAGACACGGGCCCCUCCUAAGAGCUGGGGGUUGUGGUCAGCAUCAGCUUCAUCUGGGUGCACGAAUCAGAGGGAGAAAGUGUGUGUAGUUGUCCAAAAGAAUAUCUGGUAAUUGAUCAGAGAACAAGUAUGCUCUCAUCUUUGGGUGCUGGGCAGGAAGAAGCAGAUGAUCUGUGAAGAUCAUCUAAGCCUCUAAGCCUUUGCUGCUCAAAGAGUCCAUAGGCCAGCAUCACCCCGAGGCUUAUUAGAAAUGCAGAUGGGGGUUCCCAUGCUGUGCAGCGGAGGUGAAUCCAACUAGUAUCCAUGAAGAUGAAGAUUUGAUCCCUGGCCUCACUCAGGGGGUUAAGGAUCUGGUGCUGUCGUGAGCUGUAGUGUAGGUCACAGAUGCGGCUCAGAUCUCACAUUGCUGUGGCUGUGGUGUAGGCUGGCAGCUGAAGCUCCGAUUCGACUUCCAUAUGCUGCGAGAGCGGCCUUAAAAAGGAAAAAAAAGAAGGAAAAGAAAGAAAGGAAGGAAGGAAGGAAGAAUCACAGAUCCCUUCCCAGACUUCCGGAACCAGAAUCUGCAUUUUGACAUAUGCAUUCAUCUCCAGGUGACCUGCGUGCCUGUCAUGGCAUGAGAAGUGCCACUGCAGGUGCAACUUUUCACUGUGCAGGAAACCUGGCUUCAGAAGUUGUGAUGCUUUCUCCAAAGUCACCCCAAUUAAGUGCUGCUACCACCAGAACUUUGCUCCCUCUGGCACCUCAACCCACCUGCCAACACAAGAUUCCUGACGCAAGACUGCCAGGGGUGCUCUCCCUGACCUCUUCCGCUGAAGCUGUCUUGAAGUGUAUACCCUGUCAGGAGCGAGGU
ensembl:lncRNA